UACGUAGGCAGCAAGCGUUGUUCGGAGUUACUGGGCGUAAAGGGUGCGUAGGCGGCCCUGUAAGUAUGGUGUGAAAUCUCCCGGCUUAACUGGGGGGGUGCGCUAUAGACUGCGGGGCUCGAGUGUGGGAGAGGAAAGUGGAAUUCCUGGUGUAGCGGUGAAAUGCGUAGAUAUCAGGAGGAACACCGGUGGUGUAAACGGCUUUCUGGACCAUAACUGACGCUGAGGCACGAAAGCGUGGGUAGCAAACAGG
rnacentral:rRNA from 1 species